AACGUAGGAGGCGAGCGUUAUCCGGAGUUACUGGGCGUAAAGCGUGCGUAGGCGGAAGGGUAAGUGGGCUGUGAAAGCCUCAGGCUCAACCUGGGGAGUGCGGCUCAGACUGCUCAUCUAGAGUGGGGUAGAGGAGUGCGGAAGUCGGGGUGUAGCGGUGAAAUGUGUAGAGAUCCCGAGGAACGCCAGUGGCGCAAGCGGCGCUCUGGGCCUUUACUGACGCUGAGGCACGAAAGCUUGGGGAGCGAACGGG
rnacentral:rRNA from 1 species